AGUAGGUUGAAGUUGUUCUGCCAGGGUGAGUCUGGAUUCUGGAAUGUUCGUCCACUACACCAGGGUCAGUGCCUGCCCACUUGUGCCCUUCCUCCUGGGAAAUCACUCCCCAUAGCUUAUUAACCCGGGCCCUCUGCUGCAGAGCACACCCAGGGGGAUCUCAAGGUACAAACAGACCUGGGACCUUCCUGUGUUUUCUUAUCCAGAAGAGACACUGCCUUUCCGGGGGCCAUAGGGGAAAGGAGUGGACGCUAAUGCACUAACAGCUACACGACAAAGGCCUGACGCCAGAGCAACCCUCAAGUUACUGAGUGUCCUUGGCGCUUCACCUGCGUGACCUCCUCCCAACAGAGCCGGAGGCUGCUACCUGCAUUUCACAGCUUCCUGUGUCCAGUGGCAGAGACACCUGAGCCCCAGUGCAGGGCCUCACCUUGAUACAAUCAACUCGUGACCUGGUCAUCACAAGCAUGGUGCCACAGGCAUGGCCGAAGACACCCCCAGGGAGAUAACAAGAAAUGCAUGGGAAGUUCCUGCCCAGCCCCGAGGACCAGCUCAGGCCCCAAGUCCAGCACUUUCCCCGUCCCCACUGAGUCACAGCCACAAACACCAGGAAAGGGAGGCACAGAGAGGUUAAGAAACUUGCCCUGUGUCACACAGCCAGUCACAAAGGCGGUGCCCAGCUCCCGGGGGUUCAGGGUGCCUGUGUCUGUCAAGGCCCCUGGUGAGCAUCUGAAGGGUGCUGGGCUGUGUGGCUGUCCUGAGGAACUGUGAUAGCAACAGCUGUGGUCCUGCAGCAGGUGGUGGGCCCGGGAUCCAGCCUCCCCUCUUCCCUUCCCUGGCAGGGUAAGUUCCAGAGCAUUUUGCUGGGUCUGCGCUUGCAAAGCCCUCCCUGCCGAGGCUAAGGCCCUCAGCCCCAUGCUCAGUGUCACCUGUCCAGACAGGUGAGGCCGGAGAGGGUUUUCAUGGGGAGGGUGCACCCAAAACUCGAAACUCACCUGGCCAGAAGCAGCAGGGCGGGUGCUGCCUCGAAUGGGGUUUCAGGCAAAGGGCCAGCCUGGUGUUCCCAUGUAUGAGAAAUGGGCCAAUAGCCUGAUGGGUGGAGCUGGAUGCUGUCAGGGUGGCAGGAUGAGGUGGGGGUGCUGUCUCCCCAGGAUCCCGACGACUGGGCGGGCAGGGUGCCUGGUGGAAAGGUGAGGUGCCAAGAGGCUGUGGCCAGGGGUUCUGAUCCCAGCUUGCCACUGAGUGAUUCCAUCCUCUGUGCCUCAGUUUCCCCAUCUGUAAGAUGAGGCAUUGAUGUUGGUGCCCAGGGCAGUGUCCGCAUGUGGCCAGCAGCCAUAGUUGAUGGAAACAGUGCAAUGCUGGUGACCCUGGAGGACGCAGGAGCCCUGGGCGGGCCCAGAGUCAGUCUUCCCCUGCACCCUGUGUCUUUCAUGCUGCCCCUGCCCUCCCGCUACACCAGUGCCAGGGGUCUCAGAGGGGUUCCAGUGGCUCUCUGCAUCUCCGAAGCCUCAGUCCCCCUCAUGGGGCCAGGGUUCCCACCUGCCACUGGGGAUGAGACCGCCUUCUCUCAGGGCUGGACUUGGGAGUGGGUUUUGAAGGAGGCAGGGACUGGACGCAGAGGCUGUUGGGGCAGUGGGGAGGCGUGGGGGCCUGACCCAGAGGAGGGCAGAGGAGAGGCUGCCCUGGGGAUGAGGGGGCUCUGUGGCCCCUGGCAAGGGGUGGGGCCUCUGUGAGCCUCAGUUUCUCAGCAUGCCAUCCGCCUGGCGACCUUGCCUCCCUCUCCCGCUGGGGCUAUAGAAUGGUCUGGAGCCCUCUGUGGCAGCAGCAGCCCCAGGCGAGUUCUGUUCACUCGGAAGGAGCCCGUCCUCAUCCUCACCCUCGUUUACAGAGGAAGGCCGGCGCUCAAGGUGGCAGGACUGGCUGAGGACCACGGCAGGUCACGCCUGGGGCUAGGAUGCCCUUCCAAAGCCCUGCCUUGGUUUCCUGGUGCUGUGGGAACAAUGACCAGAAACCGGCCCUGCCCCACGCAUCUCUGUGAUUAACUCACUCCCUGUACAGUAGAGGGAGGCGUGGCCCAGGGAGGCUCCCGGGCUGGCCCGAGGCCCAUGGCAAGCAGCCCCACCCAAGCAGGCGGCUCCAGGCUUGGCUGGGAUCCCGCAGUGACGCUUGGGUGUCUUUGGGCCUUAAAAGUUCACUCUCCAAAGGCAUCAAACUUGUUCCACCCUACAGGGACUUUUUGUUUGUUUUUCUUUUAAUAGACUGAAUUCUUUGGAAUCCUCUUAGAUUUACAAAACAGUCAGGAAGACAGUUCAGAGAGUUCUCGUAAAACCCCACCCAGCGGCCUCUAUGAUUAGCAUCUUACCUUGGUAUGGUACAUUUGUCAUAACUAAUGAGCCAAUACCACCAAUGCCUGAUUACCAACUGCAGCCC